UUGCCAGCCGCCGCGGUAAUACGGAGGGUGCGAGCGUUAAUCGGAAUUACUGGGCGUAAAGGGCGCGUAGGCGGUCGCGCAAGUCGGGUGUGAAAGCCCCGGGCUCAACCUGGGAAUUGCAUUCGAUACUGCGUAACUAGAGUCUGGUAGAGGGAAGCGGAAUUCCGCAUGUAGCGGUGAAAUGCGUAGAUAUGCGGAGGAACACCAGUGGCGAAGGCGGCUUCCUGGACCAAGACUGACGCUGAGGCGCGAAAGCGUGGGGAGCAAACAGGAUUAGAUACCCUGGUAGUCCACGCCCUAAACGAUGAGGACUAGACGUUGGGGGGAUAAAACCCUUUGGUGUCGCAGCUAACGCGUGAAGUCCUCCGCCUGGGGAGUACGGCCGCAAGGUUGAAACUCAAAUGAAUUGGCGG
rnacentral:rRNA from 1 species